rnacentral:rRNA from 1 species
GAUGAACGCUGGCGGCGUGCUUAACACAUGCAAGUCGAGCGAGAAGUUUUGAAAAGAUUCUUCGGAUGAAAUUUAAAAUGGAAAGCGGCGGACGGGUGAGUAACGCGUAGGCAACCUGCCCCAUACAAAGGGAUAGCAUUUGGAAACGAAUAUUAAUACCUUAUGAAACUUAACUAGUGCAUGCUAGGUAGGUCAAAGAUUUAUCGGUAUGGGAUGGGCCUGCGUCUGAUUAGCUAGUUGGUGAGGUAACGGCUCACCAAGGCGACGAUCAGUAGCCGACCUGAGAGGGUGAACGGCCACAUUGGAACUGAGACACGGUCCAAACUCCUACGGGAGGCAGCAGUGGGGAAUAUUGCACAAUGGGGGAAACCCUGAUGCAGCAACGCUGCGUGAACGAUGAAGGCCUUUGGGUCGUAAAGUUCUGUUCUAGGUGAUGAAAACUGACAGUAACCUAGGAGAAAGCCCCGGCUAACUCCGUG